GAUGAACGCUGGCGGCGUGCCUAAUACAUGCAAGUCGAGCGAACAGACGAGGAGCUUGCUCCUCUGACGUUAGCGGCGGACGGGUGAGUAACACGUGGAUAACCUACCUAUAAGACUGGGAUAACUUCGGGAAACCGGAGAUAAUAACGGAUAAUAUAUUGAACCGCAUGGUUCAAUAGUGAAAGACGGCUUUGCUGACACUUAUAGAUGGAUCCGCGCCGCAUUAGCUAGUUGGUAAGGUAACGGCUUACCAAGGCAACGAUGCGUAGCCGACCUGAGAGGGUGAUCGGCCACACUGGAACUGAGACACGGUCCAGACUCCUACGGGAGGCAGCAGUAGGGAAUCUUCCGCAAUGGGCGAAAGCCUGACGGAGCAACGCCGCGUGAGUGAUGAAGGUCUUCGGAUCGUAAAGCUCUGUUAUUAGGGAAGAACAAAUGUGUAAGUAACUAUGCACGUCUUGACGGUACCUAAUCAGAAAGCCACGGCUAACUACGUG
rnacentral:rRNA from 1 species